CCUACGGGAGGCAGCAGUGGGGAAUAUUGCACAAUGGGCGCAAGCCUGAUGCAGCAACGCCGCGUGAGUGAAGAAGGCCUUCGGGUUGUAAAGCUCUUUCGGAUGUGAAGAAGGGUGCGUACACGAAUAGUGUAAGCAUUUGACUGUAGCAUAAUAAGAAGCACCGGCUAACUCCGUGCCAGCAGCCGCGGUAAUACGGGGGGUGCAAGCGUUGUUCGGAAUUAUUGGGCGUAAAGCGCACGUAGGCGGAUCUGUAAGUCGAUUGUGAAAGCCCUGGGCUUAACCUGGGAAUUGCAGCCGAAACUGCAGACCUUGAAUGCUUGAGGGGAUAACGGAAUUCCUGGUGUAGAAGUGAAAUUCGUAGAUAUCAGGAGGAACACCCGAGGCGAAGGCGGUUAUCUGGCAAUGCAUUGACGCUGAGGUGCGAAAGCGUGGGUAGCAAACAGGAUUAGAUACCCUGGUAGUCCACGCCGUAAACGAUGGAUACUAGGUGCUCGAGGUGUUAACCCCUUGUGUACCGUAGCUAACGCAUUAAGUAUCCCGCCUGGGGAGUACGGCCGCAAGGCUAAAACUCAAAGGAAUUGACGG
rnacentral:rRNA from 1 species